AUGGGAAUAACUGUCCGAAAGGGCUGCUAAUACCCAAUAAUUGCAAAAGCACAAAGCUAGGAAUUCUUUCCUUGUGCUUAAAGAGGGGUUAAUGUCCUAUCAGCUAGUUGGUGGGGUAAUGGCCUACCAAGGCAAAGACGGGUAGCCGGCUUGAGAGGGUGGUCGGCCACACUGGGACUGAGACACUGCCCAGACUCCUACGGGAGGCUGCAGUCGAGAAUCUUUCGCAAUGCCCGAAAGGGUGACGAAGCGACGCCGCGUGUGGGAAGAAGGCCUUCGGGUUGUAAACCACUGUCGGGAGUUAGGAAUGCAGGUGCGUUAAUAGCGCACUUGCUUGACUAAGGCUCCAGAGGAAGCCACGGCUAACUCUGUGCCAGCAGCCGCGGUAAUACAGAGGCGGCAAGCGUUGUUCGGAAUUAUUGGGCGUAAAGAGCACGUAGGCGGCCUUGCAAGUCAGUUGUGAAAGCCUUCCGCUUAACGGAAGAACGGCAUCUGAUACUACAGGGCUUGAGUACGGGAGGGGAGAGUGGAACUUCUGGUGGAGCGGUGAAAUGCGUAGAUAUCAGAAGGAACGCCGGCGGCGAAAGCGACUCUCUGGUCCGAAACUGACGCUGAUGUGCGAAAGCUAGGGGAGCAAACGGGAUUAGAUACCCCGGUAGUCCUAGCCGUAAACGAUGGGCACUAAGUAGAGGGGUUUUGAUAUUUCUCUGCCGGAGCUAACGCAUUAAGUGCCCCGCCUGGGGAGUACGGCCGCAAGGCUAAAACUCAAAAGAAUUGACGGGGGCUCGCACAAGCGGUGGAGCAUGUGGCUUAAUUCGAUGCAACGCGAAGAACCUUACCGGGGCUUGACAUGUAGAAGUAGAUCCUGAAAGGGUACGAUCUAUCCAGUGAAGCUAUCACAGGUGUUGCAUGGCUGUCGUCAGCUCGUGUCGUGAGACGUUGGGUUAAGUCCCCUAACGAGCGAAACCCUUGUCUUUAGUUGCUAACGGGUAAUCUGAGCACUUUAGAGAGACUGCCGUCGUUAAGACGGAGGAAGGUGGGGACGACGUCAAGUCAUCAUGGCCCUUAUGUCCCGGGCUGCACACGUGCUACAAUGGUCGGUACAAAGGGAUGCUAAGUCGCGAGAUGGUGCGAAACC
rnacentral:rRNA from 1 species